rnacentral:lncRNA from 1 species
AUGUUCCGGAUCAAGGCAGGGAUGGGAAUGAGAAGUAGCAGCUGUUCUAAGGGCAAAGACGAUGAAAAUCCAAACAAUUCUAUGCAAACGAGCAGCCUCCUGUGUCUGCAGCAGAGAGAGGGGAUCCAGGGACACAAAAGCAAAAAUCCAGUUUGCAAGGCCCUCCCAGGUGGAAUGCAAGGAGCCUGGAAUCAGGCACACCAGGCUGUAGAUCCCAUCUCCUCAGUUCACUAGGUGCGGGAUCAUUGGUGAGUGAUUUAACCUCUCUAGGUCUUGAUUUCCCCAAGAUAAAAUCAAAAUAAUAGUCAUUGUGAGGAUUUAAACUAGAUGAGAUACACAGGCCUGUAGCAACAUGAUUCAUUCAUUCCCAACUGUCUUUCCAGGGUUUUUCAGUUGUAUUUCUUCUUCUGCCUUUCACACUGAGGCAAAUGUAAAAGUUAAGGAAAACCCACCAGAAACGAUGUCUGGCUCUGUCUUGGGAAACACGGUGAACUCGCAAAGUUAAGAGUUACUGCGGAACAUAUAAGGUGAACCUUUCAUUUCUUUAAAAGUUGUGAUGUUAUCACCUCCAAUAUGUAUAGUGAGCU